rnacentral:rRNA from 1 species
AUUGAACGCUGGCGGCAGGCCUAACACAUGCAAGUCGAACGAGUGGCGGACGGGUGAGUAAUGUCUGGGAAACUGCCUGAUGGAGGGGGAUAACUACUGGAAACGGUAGCUAAUACCGCAUACCAUCGGAUGUGCCCAGAUGGGAUUAGAUAGUAGGUGGGGUAAAGGCUCACCUAGUCGACGAUCCCUAGCUGGUCUGAGAGGAGGAACAGUCACCCUGGACCUGAGACACGGCCCAGACUCCUACGGGAGUCAGAAGUGGGGAAUAUUGCACAAUGGGCGCAAGCCUGAUGCAGCCAUGCCGCGUGUAUGAAGAAGGCCUUCGGGUUGUAAAGUACUUUCAGCGGGGAGGCGUUACCCGCACAAGAAGCACCGGCUAACUCCGUGCCAGCAGCCGCGGUAAUUC